AGUUAAGAAGCCACAGAUAAGCCUAAUGUCUUGAAAACAUUAUGAAAGAAGUUUAAAUCUUCUAUUAACUU
rnacentral:tRNA from 1 species